CACCUGUUCCCAUUCCGAACACAGAAGUUAAGCUCUCUAGCGCUGAUGGUACUUGGUGGGAAACUGCCUGGGAGAGUAGGACGUAGCCACGU
rnacentral:rRNA from 1 species